CGUCUAUAUACGUAUAGCAUAUCAAUAAGCGGAGGAAAAGAAACUAACAAGGAUUCCCCUAGUAACGGCGAGUGAAGCGGGAAGAGCUCAAAUUUGAAAUCUUAAAGGGUUUCCCUUUACGAAUUGUAGUUUAAAGAAGUGUUUUCUGUUGGAGUUUCGGUAAAAGUUCUUUGGAAUAGGACAUCAUAGAGGGUGAGAAUCCCGUAUUUGACCGUUACUUUCCAGCUUUGUGAUACACUUUCAAAGAGUCGGAUUGUUUGGGAAUGCAGUCCAAAAUGGGUGGUAAAUUUCAUCUAAAGCUAAAUAUUGGCGAGAGACCGAUAGCGAACAAGUACCGUGAGGGAAAGAUGAAAAGAACUUUGAAAAGAGAGUUAAACAGUACGUGAAAUUGUCAAAAGGGAAGCGUUUGACACCAGUGUUGUUUAGUUGAAAAUCAAUUCAAUAAUUUGUGAUUUUGAGUAGUAUUGACUUCAUCAGCUUGCUGCUCUCUUUUCGAAAUUAUUGAAUGCACUUUUCAGUUAACAAGUCAACAUCAAUUUCUUUUGUUGUAAAAGGGUAAGAGGAAGGUGGCUUACGCUUCGGCGUAAGUGUUUAUAGCCUUUUACCUCUGCAAUCGGAGAGAUUGAGGAUCUGCAGCGUAGAUCCUUCGGGGUUAGAUACAGUUUGUGCUAAGCUAUAGCCUUGUAUAGACAACUUGUUGACUAUACUCAGUCAUGUAGCUUACUCGCUUAUGCUAUUUUACCUACGCUUAGGAUGUUGAAGAUAUGCGCGACACG
rnacentral:rRNA from 1 species